rnacentral:rRNA from 1 species
GGUACAAUGCACCUGGCCCGCGGCCGUCUAGGUUUGUGAGUGCCGGCGCGCGUUUACCAUCCUUCUAGAAAACAAGCUUGCUCUUUACUGGGUGGGUUUGCGAUCUAGAUCUUUUACUUUGAAAAAAUUAGAGUGUUUAAAGCAGGCUUUUGCUCUGAAUACAUUAGCAUGGAAUAAUAAUCUAGGACUUCGGUUCUAUUUUGUUGGUUUCUAAAACUGAAGUA